rnacentral:rRNA from 1 species
GGGUUGUGAGGUUAAGCGACUAAGCGUACACGGUGGAUGCCCUGGCAGUCAGAGGCGAUGAAGGACGUGCUAAUCUGCGAUAAGCGUCGGUAAGGUGAUAUGAACCGUUAUAACCGGCGAUUUCCGAAUGGGGAAACCCAGUGUGAUUCGUCACACUAUCAUUAACUGAAUCCAUAGGUUAAUGAGGCGAACCGGGGGAACUGAAACAUCUAAGUACCCCGAGGAAAAGAAAUCAACCGAGAUUCCCCCAGUAGCGGCGAGCGAACGGGGAGGAGCCCAGAGCCUGAAUCAGUGUGUGUGUUAGUGGAAGCGUCUGGAAAGGCGCGCGAUACAGGGUGACAGCCCCGUACACAAAAAUGCACAUGCUGUGAGCUCGAUGAGUAGGGCGGGACACGUGGUAUCCUGUCUGAAUAUGGGGGGACCAUCCUCCAAGGCUAAAUACUCCUGACUGACCGAUAGUGAACCAGUACCGUGAGGGAAAGGCGAAAAGAACCCCGGCGAGGGGAGUGAAAAAGAACCUGAAACCGUGUACGUACAAGCAGUGGGAGCACGCUUAGGCGUGUGACUGCGUACCUUUUGUAUAAUGGGUCAGCGACUUAUAUUCUGUAGCAAGGUUAACCGAAUAGGGGAGCCGAAGGGAAACCGAGUCUUAACUGGGCGUUAAGUUGCAGGGUAUAGACCCGAAACCCGGUGAUCUAGCCAUGGGCAGGUUGAAGGUUGGGUAACACUAACUGGAGGACCGAACCGACUAAUGUUGAAAAAUUAGCGGAUGACUUGUGGCUGGGGGUGAAAGGCCAAUCAAACCGGGAGAUAGCUGGUUCUCCCCGAAAGCUAUUUAGGUAGCGCCUCGUGAAUUCAUCUCCGGGGGUAGAGCACUGUUUCGGCAAGGGGGUCAUCCCGACUUACCAACCCGAUGCAAACUGCGAAUACCGGAGAAUGUUAUCACGGGAGACACACGGCGGGUGCUAACGUCCGUCGUGAAGAGGGAAACAACCCAGACCGCCAGCUAAGGUCCCAAAGUCAUGGUUAAGUGGGAAACGAUGUGGGAAGGCCCAGACAGCCAGGAUGUUGGCUUAGAAGCAGCCAUCAUUUAAAGAAAGCGUAAUAGCUCACUGGUCGAGUCGGCCUGCGCGGAAGAUGUAACGGGGCUAAACCAUGCACCGAAGCUGCGGCAGCGACACUGUGUGUUGUUGGGUAGGGGAGCGUUCUGUAAGCCUGCGAAGGUGUGCUGUGAGGCAUGCUGGAGGUAUCAGAAGUGCGAAUGCUGACAUAAGUAACGAUAAAGCGGGUGAAAAGCCCGCUCGCCGGAAGACCAAGGGUUCCUGUCCAACGUUAAUCGGGGCAGGGUGAGUCGACCCCUAAGGCGAGGCCGAAAGGCGUAGUCGAUGGGAAACAGGUUAAUAUUCCUGUACUUGGUGUUACUGCGAAGGGGGGACGGAGAAGGCUAUGUUGGCCGGGCGACGGUUGUCCCGGUUUAAGCGUGUAGGCUGGUUUUCCAGGCAAAUCCGGAAAAUCAAGGCUGAGGCGUGAUGACGAGGCACUACGGUGCUGAAGCAACAAAUGCCCUGCUUCCAGGAAAAGCCUCUAAGCAUCAGGUAACAUCAAAUCGUACCCCAAACCGACACAGGUGGUCAGGUAGAGAAUACCAAGGCGCUUGAGAGAACUCGGGUGAAGGAACUAGGCAAAAUGGUGCCGUAACUUCGGGAGAAGGCACGCUGAUACGUAGGUGAAGUCCCUCGCGGAUGGAGCUGAAAUCAGUCGAAGAUACCAGCUGGCUGCAACUGUUUAUUAAAAACACAGCACUGUGCAAACACGAAAGUGGACGUAUACGGUGUGACGCCUGCCCGGUGCCGGAAGGUUAAUUGAUGGGGUCAGCGCAAGCGAAGCUCUUGAUCGAAGCCCCGGUAAACGGCGGCCGUAACUAUAACGGUCCUAAGGUAGCGAAAUUCCUUGUCGGGUAAGUUCCGACCUGCACGAAUGGCGUAAUGAUGGCCAGGCUGUCUCCACCCGAGACUCAGUGAAAUUGAACUCGCUGUGAAGAUGCAGUGUACCCGCGGCAAGACGGAAAGACCCCGUGAACCUUUACUAUAGCUUGACACUGAACAUUGAGCCUUGAUGUGUAGGAUAGGUGGGAGGCUUUGAAGUGUGGACGCCAGUCUGCAUGGAGCCGACCUUGAAAUACCACCCUUUAAUGUUUGAUGUUCUAACGUUGACCCGUGAUCCGGGUUGCGGACAGUGUCUGGUGGGUAGUUUGACUGGGGCGGUCUCCUCCUAAAGAGUAACGGAGGAGCACGAAGGUUGGCUAAUCCUGGUCGGACAUCAGGAGGUUAGUGCAAUGGCAUAAGCCAGCUUGACUGCGAGCGUGACGGCGCGAGCAGGUGCGAAAGCAGGUCAUAGUGAUCCGGUGGUUCUGAAUGGAAGGGCCAUCGCUCAACGGAUAAAAGGUACUCCGGGGAUAACAGGCUGAUACCGCCCAAGAGUUCAUAUCGACGGCGGUGUUUGGCACCUCGAUGUCGGCUCAUCACAUCCUGGGGCUGAAGUAGGUCCCAAGGGUAUGGCUGUUCGCCAUUUAAAGUGGUACGCGAGCUGGGUUUAGAACGUCGUGAGACAGUUCGGUCCCUAUCUGCCGUGGGCGCUGGAGAAUUGAGGGGGGCUGCUCCUAGUACGAGAGGACCGGAGUGGACGCAUCACUGGUGUUCGGGUUGUCAUGCCAAUGGCACUGCCCGGUAGCUAAAUGCGGAAGAGAUAAGUGCUGAAAGCAUCUAAGCACGAAACUUGCCCCGAGAUGAGUUCUCCCUGACUCCUUGAGAGUCCUGAAGGAACGUUGAAGACGACGACGUUGAUAGGCCGGGUGUGUAAGCGCAGCGAUGCGUUGAGCUAACCGGUACUAAUGAACCGUGAGGCUUAACCUUACAACGCCGAAGGUGUUU